rnacentral:rRNA from 1 species
AGUAAGGGCGACUGAAAUGUCAAGAGCUCAGCAUGUGAAUCAGCGCUUGCCUCUUUGUAAGCGCUGAAUUGUGGUCUUGCGACUUUUGCGCUCAUUUCAGGGCAGACCAUGUUUUUUGGAAUAAAAUAGCACAGAGGGUGAAACUCCCGUGUGUCUGCCCUUGCGAAGCAAAUUGUCACUGAGUCGAGUUGUUUGGGAUUGCAGCUCAAAUUGUACGGUGGUAAAUUCCAUCUCAAGCUAAAUAUUGGUGGGGGACCGAUAGCGAACAAGUACCGUGAGGGAAAGAUGCAAAGAACUUUGAAAAGAGAGUGAAAGAGUACCUGAAAUUGCUGAAAAGGAAGCGAACGAAGCUAGUGAACGCUGCGUCAUACUUUCCAACUUGCUUGCAAUUUGGACGCUGUGGCCAGCCCUGUUGGGCUUGAUUGCGGCAGGUGAAAACAGGUCAAGAAAAGAUUCCAUUUUCUCUCGCCAUAU